UGGCUGUGAUGACAAAUAUCAUUUCUCGAUACUGAUUUAGAUUGCUUGUGGAUAUGAACAACUUUGUUCUGUUCAUAACUGCAAAUGAGGACCCAUUUGUGCGUGUCUGAGCCGC